GACGAACGCUGGCGGCGUGCUUAACACAUGCAAGUCGUACGGUAAGGCCCUGUCUGGGGUACACGCGUGGCGGACGGGUGAGUAACACGUAAGUAACCUGCCCACAACUUUGGGAUAACGCUAGGAAACUGGUUCUAAUACUUGAUAUGUACUCCUUCUUCAUGGUGGGGGGUGGAAAGCUAGUGCGGGUGUGGAUGGACUCGCGGGCUAUCAGCUUGUUGGUGGGGUAGUGGCCUACCUAGGCGGCGACGGGUAGCCGGCCUGAGAGGGUGACCGGCCACAAUGGGACCGAGAUACGGCCCAGACUCCUACGGGAGGGAGGAGUGGGGAAUAUUGCAAAAUGGGCGCGAGCCUGAUGCAGCAAACCCGCGUGCGGGAAUAAGGCCUUCGGGUUGGAAACCGCUUUCAGCCGGGGCGAAGCUUUUUGUGGCGGUACCUGCAGAAGAAGCACCGGCUAACUACGUG
rnacentral:rRNA from 1 species